UAAUACAGAGGUCUCAAGCGUUGUUCGGAAUCACUGGGCGUAAAGGGUGCGUAGGCCGCACGGUAAGUCAGAUGUGAAAUCUCAGGGCUCAACUCUGAAAUUGCAUCCGAUACUGCCGUGCUUGAGGACUGGAGAGGAGUCUGGAAUUCAUGGUGGAGCAGUGAAAUGCGUAGAUAUCAUGAGGAACGCUAGUGGCGUAGGCGAGACUCUGGACAGUUCCUGACGCUGAGGCACGAAGGCCAGGGGAGCAAACGGGAUUAGAUACCCCGGUAGUCCUGGCAGUAAACGGUGCACGUUUGGUGUGGGAGGAAUCGACCCCUUCCGUGCCGGAGCUAACGCGUUAAACGUGCCGCCUGGGAAGUACGGUCGCAAGAUUA
rnacentral:rRNA from 1 species